rnacentral:rRNA from 1 species
UACGUGAGGGGCGAACGUUGUUCGGUGUCACUGGGCUUAAAGGGUGCGUAGGUGGUUGUGUAAGUAACGUGUGAAAUCCCCCGGCUUACCCGAGGAAUUGCGCGUUAUACUGCACGGCUUGAGGGACAGAGGGGAAAGAGGAACUCCAGGUGUAGCGGUGAAAUGCGCAGAUAUCUGGGGGAAGGCCGGCGGCGAAGGCGUCUUUCUGGCUGUUACCUGACACUGAGGCACGAAAGCGUGGGGAGCAAACAGG